CCUACGGGGUGCAGCAGUGGGGAAUCUUGCGCAAUGGGCGAAAGCCUGACGCAGCGCCGCCGCGUGAGGGAUGAAGGUCUUCGGAUCGUCAAUCUCUGUCAGCAGGGAAGAACGGUCACUGUGCUAAUCAGCCGUGCAUUGCCGGUACCUGCAAAGGAAGCACCGGCUAACUCCGGGCCAGCAGCCGCGGUAAUACGGAGGGGGCGAGCGUUAAUCGGAAUUACUGGGCGUAAAGCGCUCUUAGGCGGUAGGUCAAGGCAAGGGGGAAAUCCACGCGCUCAAACUGGGAACUGCCUGUGAAACUGGCAAACUGGAGUGUGUGAGAGGAUAGUGGAAUUCCAGGUGUAGGAGUGAAAUCCGUAGAGAUCUGGAGGAACAUCAGUGGCGAAGGCGACUAUCUGGCACAUAACUGACGCUGAGGAGCGAAAGCGUGGGUAGCAAACAGGAUUAGAUACCCCUGUAGUC
rnacentral:rRNA from 1 species